rnacentral:rRNA from 1 species
GGCAGCUCGAGUGGUAGUCGAGAUUAUUGGGCCUAAAGCGUCCGUAGCCGGCUAUAUAAAUCCUUGGGUAAAUCGACCAGCUUAACUGAUCGAAUUCUGAUGAGACUGUAUGGCUAGGGACCGGGAGAAGUCAGAAGUACUCCUGGGGUAGGGGUGAAAUCCUGUAAUCCUGGGGGGACUACCAGUGGCGAAGGCGUCUGACUAGAACGGAUCCGACGGUGAGGGACGAAACCCUGGGGCACAAACGG